rnacentral:rRNA from 1 species
UACGUAGGGUGCGAGCGUUGUCCGGAAUUACUGGGCGUAAAGGGUGCGUAGGUGGCCUGACAAGUCUGAUGUGAAAUCCCUGGGCUCAACCCAGGGCCUGCAUCGGAAACUGUCGGGCUUGAGUAUGGGAGAGGUGAGUGGAAUUUCCGGUGUAGCGGUGAAAUGCGUAGAUAUCGGAAGGAACACCUGUGGCGAAAGCGGCUCACUGGACCAUUACUGACGCUGAGGCACGAAAGCGUGGGGAGCGAACAGG